GGGGAUUUGGCUCAGUGGUAGAGCGCUUGCCUAGCAAGUGCAAGGCCCUGGGUUCGGUCCCCAGCUCUA
rnacentral:tRNA from 1 species